ensembl:lncRNA LINC02492 long intergenic non-protein coding RNA 2492
ACUGGUUGGAUGUCAGGAGCAGGCCAUGUGGAUGAUUAAAAGAUGAAUAUCAUAUACAGCAUGGAUAUGUUGGACAAAAAGAUGAUUCACAUCCCAGACAGAAUGGAGCAGCACAUUUAUUAAAAGCCAGAAGCUAGAAGACGAGGAAAGAAGAGGUGGUUAAAGAAAGAUACAGUAACAGCAGUAAUAUCUAACAGGAAGGCUACAGGGGAAAAUACAGAAAUUCCAUAAAGAACAAACACUGUAACUCAAAACCAAAGCUUUGCUAGUCACUAGUGCCCGCUACAUCCUAACAGAUGCAGCUGGAGAGCCUGGGGUGAGAACAUGAGCAGUCUAUAAUCAGAAAAUCCCUUUGGGAUAAAUUGACAAAAAUAUAAACCACUCCACAAAGGAGAAAUUGUAAAUGUUGUUCUUCCAGAUGGCAUGAAUCCAACAGUGAAGAAAUCAGAAUACGUUGCUUUUGUGAGGGGCAGCUGCUGAUUUUCUCUGAGCUCCGUUUCCAGCCUUCACAUGCUCUGCUAUUCAUCACAGGGUAAAUUCUGACUAUAGGAGGUACUGACAGAAGAUUAGGGAAGAACAGAGGGCUAAAUGUUUAUUGACUUCUUGAAAAAUGCUAUGUGUCUUGCCAGACUUAGCUUACAAGUUUGGUUAAAGAGAGACUGACAUGAGCAUAAAGGAAGGGACAUUGAAAGAGGCAGAGAUGAAGGAAGAAAUUGUAACUUACUCCUUUUAUCCCACCCAUCAAAGGAAAGACAAGUUGACAAUACUGAGUGAAGAAAUUUGUUGGAUUCCAAGUAUUUUUCCUUAAAGGAAAUAUUUCAAUGAGCAGAAUAAAUUUCCCAGGGUGGAUGGAUCCAGGCAGGACAGGAUCAGAAGUUGCAGUCUUAAUUGCACCAACUCACGCAUGUCACCAGCCGAGUAGUAUUGAUUCUGCAACAAACUGAGAAGAAACCUGGCGAUUCACAACAGAGAGCUGAGAAAUCCUAAGUCUGGAUUCCAGCUAAAUGGGAGCAGACUAAAUAGAGCGGCAGUCGGCGAACUACAUGUAGCCCAUGAACAAAAUCCGGUCCAGCACGUGUGUUUUUUUUUACGGCCCACAAAUGAGUCUGUCUUUACAGAUGAAUGUUAAAACUGGGUUGACAAGAGAGAACACUCACUUUGAACCGCAACUAAACAAAAUAUUAUCACCUUUCCCCUCAAAAAAGGUUUUUGUUCUUCUCAUUAGUAAAUUUGUAUUAUGAC